UGCACCGGCUUCUAUGUGUGAUCCCACAGGCCAGGAGCUAUACCUACAUGCCUGGCUGCCCUCCACCCAGGAGUGAGCUGGAGGGGGAACAGAGGCCAGGCCGGCAGGAUGAGGAAGCGCAGGGUGCCUGGUGAGCCAGCGGGGGCAAGAGCCACACCUCGUUCUGAAGAGCCUGACUCAGGGUCCUGGGUGCACAGGUACGCCCAGGCCAGCAUACACAAGGAGCAGAGAAUCUGCCCGGCUCUGCUGCUGUUUGAGCACCCUGGGUCAUGUGCCAAGGUCAUGCAGGGACAGGGGAGGAGACUCUGAGCUCACGCCCAGCAGGGAAACAAUCCAGGAGAGCAGAGGAAAGACUGGGGCCUGAGUGAGACUGCCCAGUCCCCCAGACAGCCAGGGAACCCUCAGCCUCUGCAGCAGGCAUGCGGGAGAUCUCACUGAGGGCACACGGAUGCUCUUUAGGGAACUGGGAAUGAAGAGGAGGGAGAGGCCCGCAGGCAAGGGUGCUGGUGGGACACUGUCCCUUUAAGAGGAUCCAGACAGUUCCCCAUUGUCUGGGAGCCUGAGGGGAGGGGCGGGGGACCACAGCCAGUGGCUGAGGGUUGGGGAGGAGGCACGGCCCAGGUUCAGAAGCACAGGGGUGGGGGUGCAUCCAGGAAGACGGGGGAGUUCGAUGAGCUCCCCCUACAAGAGGAGGGUGUGGGGGAGGGAGGGCCUCCAGAGACUGCUCUGGGAUGUGAGACCAGGCAGCGGAAGCAAUGCUGGCCCGGAGCCAUGACGUCAGCCCUUCCUGCCCAGCACUCCCAGGCCCCCAGCCCCAGGCGUCCUUAGGGCACGCAUCUCACUGCGAGGUGGGCAAGGUGGGCGAAGGGGCAAGUAAGGCACUGGGCCCGGAGUGCGGCAGCCCAGGCUGAGGGGAUCCCUGGUGCACGCCCCCAGGGGGCUGCAACCUAGCGGGAGGGCACAGAGGAGCGGGCUCUGCAGAGAGGCUGCCUGGUGUGCAAGCACCGUGACCUUGGGGAGGCUCCCCCACCUCCCACGCGUCCUGGGGCAAUCAGUGAGUGAUUCACUUUGCCCUUCCAUCGACCAGACCGACCAGACCGUCCUCGCGUCACAGCAGUGUCACCAUAGAAGUCUCCCCCUCACUCCUGGCUGCCAGCCUGCAGGAAGCAGGGCCUCGCCUGCCUCUGGGUGGGUGGGUGGGUGGGUGGGCUGGUGGGGGCUCGGGAGCAGCUGUCUUCCUAUGGGGGAGAGAAUGCUCUUCUCCAGCCUGCAAACUCCUACCCCUUCACUCCUGCACAUUCAUCACCGUAGCAGGCCUGGAAGACCCGGGUGGCGCUGACUCAGGGCUGGGUGGGUGCAGUCGGCUCCCUGGCCACCACUUCCUUGAAGUCUGCUCAGUCACCUGGAGGGGGUGCCUCCAAGCAGUCUGCACCUCCACCAGGCCUGUCUGCAUCGCCAGCCUCCGCUGGCCCUACCAGUCUCUGCCAUCAACCUGAGGGCUCUCUGAGGUCCCAUGUCAGGCAUCCACAAAUGCUGGACCCCAGAGAGAAGGUGAGCGCGGCUGGAGGACCAGCUUCGCGGGGAGACUGGAUCAAAGGACCAGAAGUCUCAGCAGCGGCCUGCUUCCCCCAGCAGGCGGCCAGACAGUGACCUAGAGGUUUCGGUUCUCGGUUCUCCUGCCCCACAGCCGGGUCCCAGGCCUCCAGGGAGAUGUCUCCAGAGCUACGGUGGCCCCCGGGGCUCGAGUGCCGCGGGCUUCUGGGAAGGGACCUCACCAAGGCAGCAGCUGGACCAAAGCAGAGCUUGGACGGCUCAGCCCGGCCAUAACCCUCCGGGACGUGGGAGAGCUAGAGCUGAGGAAGGAGCAGGUCGUGUGGUGACAGGGACCCCAGCGCUGAUGCCAGAGGCAUGCCGUAUGCACUCACAACCCUCUCACCACAAGGCCUGGGGAGCCAGCGACUGCUGCCGGUGCACGACAUGGACUGAGAGGCUCCUGGGGACAAGGCAAGUAGAGACCAGAAGCCGGCUGCUGGGUAGCCGUGGGGCUCGGGCAAGCAGCGUGUCCUGAGUGAUUCCUCACUGUCACGGGGGUAAGGACGCUGCUGGCCUUGCUCAGAUUUGGGGGCGGGGGGGCUGGGCGGAGCACACACCGCUGGGCCAGGAGCACUUGUGGAAGCCAGCGUGUGGACACUGUGGCUCUUACUACCUGCGGACCCUCUCUCACUGCGGGAGCCUUCUCUGUGCCCCCAUCACAGCCGGCUCAGCGGCACAUGCCUUUUCCCUAGGGCCCUGACCUGGGGCCUUACCCCUCUCUUGGUGAUGAAGGGCAGGAACCCGUCCAAAGCUAGGUUGAUACAUCCUGCCCCCCUCCUUCCCUGCUGUGGCUUCCGAGGCCGCAUUCCCGGCCCUCCGGCAUGACUCCCCAAAUCCCACCUCCCUCCCCACCCCCAGCACAGGGGGCCCCAAAGUUCUUCCUGAUUUCUCUCAGCCCCAUCCUGAAUCCCACCCGUGACCGAGUGGUCUCAGACCACCUCCCCAGCGCCAGGCAGGGCACUGCCACCCUGGAUGGUCUGCUGCGUUUCAAAUCAACACGGCUGGGCACGGCUCAUCACCCACCGGGCCCCAGCUUCACGAGAGCCAAGGGCCCACCGUCCUCCCCAGCACCCGGGGCAAAAGCCCAGACUUUCAACUCCGAUCUUAAGUACACAUAGCCUUCUGUUGACUGGAAGCCUUACCCGUAAUAUAAGCGGUACAAUUAACACAGGUUUCGUAUUUAUGUGUACUACCUACCGUGGUCUUACAGAAAAGCAAGCUAGAGAAACGGUGGUGAAGAAAAUCAUUAAGAGGAGAAGAUACAUUUACAGUACGGCACCAUGCAAAAUCUGCCUAUUAAGUGGACCCCGCGCAGUUCAAACCCGUGUUGUUCAGAGUCAGUGUAAUGUUAAGAAUGCCCAAUAAAUGCUGGCUGCUGGGACAGCCACUUGCCAAUA